CAGAGCACGAGAUCCCUGUUGGCCCCACAGCCCCAGGCUGGCACAGCUCUGGAGUGACAGGGUGUGCAGAGCCAUCUGCCCAGCCGCAGGCUGAGUCCAGAGCAGUGGAUCUGAGCUGCCAGCUGGCAAAGGCAGGACCUCCAAGGAAGAAGGACCUGGUUUGGAACAAUCUGAGCACCUGAAACACCUCAGCCUGGCAUGGGCACUUGCAAAAUCCCAGAGCCUGGAGUUUAGUUGUGAAACGAAUGAUCUCUUUGUUUUCUGCUGAAUGAUAAUGAAUCACUAGAAACUUGAAACCAUUUUAAGGAUGAA